AGACAACAAAAUGUUUAAUAUUAUUAUUUUGUCACCUUAGGUCGAUCGGUAUCUCACGUUUUUAAUUUAUUAAGAAUUUCAUUUCCUAAGUUUUUCUAGGUCACACCCAUUAUUCUUCCUGGGCCAUUAGCUCAGGUGGUUAGAGCGCACCCCUGAUAAGGGUGAGGUCCCUGGUUCAAGUCCAGGAUGGCCCAUAUCUCUAUGUUGGGGGUAUAGCUCAGUUGGUAGAGCGCCUGCUUUGCAAGCAGGAUGUCAGCGGUUCGAGUCCGCUUACCUCCACUGAUUACCACCUCUUCCAUAACCGGUAGAAAGGAAAUUUUUUGAGUUGUGAUCAAAUUCUGAAAGAAUCUAGCUUCCUAAUGAAAUCAUUAAGAUGCUGGACUCAUUGAAUUAAUUUCAUUGUUUUCAGAGAACCUUGACAACUGCAUAGAUUAUUUUUAAAGACAAUAAGCAUCUUUAAUGAUGCAGAUUUAUUAUUUGUGCGAAUGCAUUAAUAACAAUUCUAUUAAGCUGAUGCUUCAAUUUUUGAAGUUAUU
rnacentral:tRNA from 1 species